GCGCCUUUAGCUCAGAUGGUAGAGCAUCGGACUUUUAAUCCGCUGGUCGCGGGUUCGAUCCCCGCAGGGCGCAC
rnacentral:tRNA from 1 species